rnacentral:tRNA from 1 species
GCCAGCAUGGUGGAAUCGGUAGACACGCUGUCCUCAAAAGACAGUGCCCUCGCGCGUCCAGGUUCGAGUCCUGGUGCUGGCACCA